rnacentral:rRNA from 1 species
GGGUUGUGAGGUUAAGCGACUAAGCGUACACGGUGGAUGCCCUGGCAGUCAGAGGCGAUGAAGGACGUGCUAAUCUGCGAUAAGCGUCGGUAAGGUGAUAUGAACCGUUAUAACCGGCGAUUUCCGAAUGGGGAAACCCAGUGUGUUUCGACACACUAUCAUUAACUGAAUCCAUAGGUUAAUGAGGCGAACCGGGGGAACUGAAACAUCUAAGUACCCCGAGGAAAAGAAAUCAACCGAGAUUCCCCCAGUAGCGGCGAGCGAACGGGGAGGAGCCCAGAGCCUGAAUCAGUAUGUGUGUUAGUGGAAGCGUCUGGAAAGGCGCGCGAUACAGGGUGACAGCCCCGUACACAAAAAUGCACAUGCUGUGAGCUCGAUGAGUAGGGCGGGACACGUGGUAUCCUGUCUGAAUAUGGGGGGACCAUCCUCCAAGGCUAAAUACUCCUGACUGACCGAUAGUGAACCAGUACCGUGAGGGAAAGGCGAAAAGAACCCCGGCGAGGGGAGUGAAAAAGAACCUGAAACCGUGUACGUACAAGCAGUGGGAGCACGCUUAGGCGUGUGACUGCGUACCUUUUGUAUAAUGGGUCAGCGACUUAUAUUCUGUAGCAAGGUUAACCGAAUAGGGGAGCCGAAGGGAAACCGAGUCUUAACUGGGCGUUAAGUUGCAGGGUAUAGACCCGAAACCCGGUGAUCUAGCCAUGGGCAGGUUGAAGGUUGGGUAACACUAACUGGAGGACCGAACCGACUAAUGUUGAAAAAUUAGCGGAUGACUUGUGGCUGGGGGUGAAAGGCCAAUCAAACCGGGAGAUAGCUGGUUCUCCCCGAAAGCUAUUUAGGUAGCGCCUCGUGAAUUCAUCUCCGGGGGUAGAGCACUGUUUCGGCAAGGGGGUCAUCCCGACUUACCAACCCGAUGCAAACUGCGAAUACCGGAGAAUGUUAUCACGGGAGACACACGGCGGGUGCUAACGUCCGUCGUGAAGAGGGAAACAACCCAGACCGCCAGCUAAGGUCCCAAAGUCAUGGUUAAGUGGGAAACGAUGUGGGAAGGCCCAGACAGCCAGGAUGUUGGCUUAGAAGCAGCCAUCAUUUAAAGAAAGCGUAAUAGCUCACUGGUCGAGUCGGCCUGCGCGGAAGAUGUAACGGGGCUAAACCAUGCACCGAAGCUGCGGCAGCGACGCUUAUGCGUUGUUGGGUAGGGGAGCGUUCUGUAAGCCUGUGAAGGUGUGCUGUGAGGCAUGCUGGAGGUAUCAGAAGUGCGAAUGCUGACAUAAGUAACGAUAAAGCGGGUGAAAAGCCCGCUCGCCGGAAGACCAAGGGUUCCUGUCCAACGUUAAUCGGGGCAGGGUGAGUCGACCCCUAAGGCGAGGCCGAAAGGCGUAGUCGAUGGGAAACAGGUUAAUAUUCCUGUACUUGGUGUUACUGCGAAGGGGGGACGGAGAAGGCUAUGUUGGCCGGGCGACGGUUGUCCCGGUUUAAGCGUGUAGGCUGGUUUUCCAGGCAAAUCCGGAAAAUCAAGGCUGAGGCGUGAUGACGAGGCACUACGGUGCUGAAGCAACAAAUGCCCUGCUUCCAGGAAAAGCCUCUAAGCAUCAGGUAACAUCAAAUCGUACCCCAAACCGACACAGGUGGUCAGGUAGAGAAUACCAAGGCGCUUGAGAGAACUCGGGUGAAGGAACUAGGCAAAAUGGUGCCGUAACUUCGGGAGAAGGCACGCUGAUAUGUAGGUGAGGUCCCUCGCGGAUGGAGCUGAAAUCAGUCGAAGAUACCAGCUGGCUGCAACUGUUUAUUAAAAACACAGCACUGUGCAAACACGAAAGUGGACGUAUACGGUGUGACGCCUGCCCGGUGCCGGAAGGUUAAUUGAUGGGGUCAGCGCAAGCGAAGCUCUUGAUCGAAGCCCCGGUAAACGGCGGCCGUAACUAUAACGGUCCUAAGGUAGCGAAAUUCCUUGUCGGGUAAGUUCCGACCUGCACGAAUGGCGUAAUGAUGGCCAGGCUGUCUCCACCCGAGACUCAGUGAAAUUGAACUCGCUGUGAAGAUGCAGUGUACCCGCGGCAAGACGGAAAGACCCCGUGAACCUUUACUAUAGCUUGACACUGAACAUUGAGCCUUGAUGUGUAGGAUAGGUGGGAGGCUUUGAAGUGUGGACGCCAGUCUGCAUGGAGCCGACCUUGAAAUACCACCCUUUAAUGUUUGAUGUUCUAACGUGGACCCGUAAUCCGGGUUGCGGACAGUGUCUGGUGGGUAGUUUGACUGGGGCGGUCUCCUCCUAAAGAGUAACGGAGGAGCACGAAGGUUGGCUAAUCCUGGUCGGACAUCAGGAGGUUAGUGCAAUGGCAUAAGCCAGCUUGACUGCGAGCGUGACGGCGCGAGCAGGUGCGAAAGCAGGUCAUAGUGAUCCGGUGGUUCUGAAUGGAAGGGCCAUCGCUCAACGGAUAAAAGGUACUCCGGGGAUAACAGGCUGAUACCGCCCAAGAGUUCAUAUCGACGGCGGUGUUUGGCACCUCGAUGUCGGCUCAUCACAUCCUGGGGCUGAAGUAGGUCCCAAGGGUAUGGCUGUUCGCCAUUUAAAGUGGUACGCGAGCUGGGUUUAGAACGUCGUGAGACAGUUCGGUCCCUAUCUGCCGUGGGCGCUGGAGAACUGAGGGGGGCUGCUCCUAGUACGAGAGGACCGGAGUGGACGCAUCACUGGUGUUCGGGUUGUCAUGCCAAUGGCACUGCCCGGUAGCUAAAUGCGGAAGAGAUAAGUGCUGAAAGCAUCUAAGCACGAAACUUGCCCCGAGAUGAGUUCUCCCUGACCCUUUAAGGGUCCUGAAGGAACGUUGAAGACGACGACGUUGAUAGGCCGGGUGUGUAAGCGCAGCGAUGCGUUGAGCUAACCGGUACUAAUGAACCGUGAGGCUUAACCUUACAACGCCGAAG